rnacentral:rRNA from 1 species
CAUUAUUGAAUAAACUUGAACAGGCUGUUGCUGGUGGAAACAUGUGCACGCUUGUCAUCUUUAUAUCUCCCCAUGUGCACAUUUUGUAGACCCUGAUGUUUUAAAGGAUUGCUUAUUGCUUUCCUUGUCAGGUCUAUGUUAUUUUCACAAUCUCUUUGAAAUGUAUUGGAAUGUUGGAUAUAUUAAUAAAAAGUUGAUACAACUUUCAGCAACGGAUCUCUUGGCUCUCGCAUCGAUGAAGAACGCAGCGAAAUGCGAUAAGUAAUGUGAAUUGCAGAAUUCAGUGAAUCAUCGAAUCUUUGAACGCAUCUUGCGCUCCUUGGUAUUCUGAGGAGCAUGCCUGUUUGAGUGUCAUUAAAUUCUCUCAACCACACAAUUGUGUUGUGGCUUGGAUAAUGGAGGGUGCAGGCUUUUGAAGUCAAGCUCCUCUAAAAUAUAUAAGUAGUGGUCAGAGAAACUACAGAUGUGAUAAAUUAUCUACAUCUUAGUGUAUGCACUGCUUCUAACCCUCCUUUGUUUUUUGAUGUAUUUGACCUCAAAUCAGGUAGGACUACCCGCUGAACUUAAGCAUAUCAAUA